AUGCUGUAAUGUAGCUCUAUAGAACUCUCAUCACAGGCCUGUGGCAGAGUGAAGGGCUAUAGUUCUAGAGCUAGCUGUAACGAUACGUUUGUGGAGCACUGACCCUAGAAGCAUUAACCACGUCAAUUAAUUAUCCUUGUCAACAACGCACAUUCUUUCUCACUGUGCCGCGCUGCACUUUCUAAGAUCAACCAUUACCGGCAUUCGCCAGUGAUUCAUCAACCACACUAUAAUCAAAGAACGUGUACGGUCUUUUCUAGUGAUAGAGUGAGAAAAAUGGUCCAGGUGCCAAAUUUAUUGAAUUAGUGGAAAAUUAAUAGGUCGAUAGACAACGUUUAAUAUGCCUUGGUGGGCUGCAAUAGGACAUGCUAGACUGAUUUAGGGUAAUGAUUGCAAACGAUAUAUAAAGACACCGACACCAAGCCGCGAGAAGGCUACGACUUUCCUCUACAGAGAUAACCACAGAUCUAUAAUAUUGCUGCCGAAAACUGUGAAGCUAUAAGACACUGCACACAAUGACGAAAUUGCACGUAUUUGUUAUAGCCAUACUGCUCCUCUCUACUCUUGAGGACGCAACCAGUCAAGAUAGUCAGGAGUUCACUGCGUCAUUCAAAAGCCUCUUCGAUGGUAUAUGCCUGCAUGAAUUUUUACGAGAGAGUUGCAGCAGAGACGGGGGAAACGUGGAAGGCUGCACCCCAGGCUUCAGUGUCUCCAGAUGCGUAUGCAACUCUGACAAAACAAUUUGCAGGAGGCUAAGAAUACGGAGAAACCCGUGUUCGUGCGUUCUCCCUAACGGAAAUAGAUUCUGGGACAACGAUGUAUGCUACAGACCCAAGGUUCAGAAUGCCAACAGCUGCAGCUGCAAUAAUGCUAAUGUACAACUUGUUGACUGUACUAUACGUUCUUAAUAAUACUGGAAGGGACAGGAUCAAUACGCUGACACUUUUCGUAAAAAAAAACUAUAAUUAAAAGUAUUUAACAGGCUGUUAUCAGUUUCUUACAAACAGGUUAAUUCAAAGCUUGAUAUAUGGGUUACUGAUGUGUUGACAAUUAAUGACUAGUUGAGUCUUAUUCUUCAUACGUGAUGUAAGUUCCAGCAAUGAUUACAAGAUUAUUAAAAUAAUAUUGUGUGUAGUGAAGACAAUGACACUAGCAUCCUAGAAUCAUGAGAAAUAAAUUGGUGUCCUGGAUAAAAGCAACA